CUGCAGAAUGCGGCGCCUGUCCCUUCUCGUCCUUACAGCAGGCGACACAGGCGGAAACUGCCUCAACUCCACACGACCUCAGCAAAGGAAGGAAGCAGAGAGGCUACUAGGGUGAGUUAAUACUGAAGAGUGACUUUCAGGUCUUGCUGGGGAGCAGUUUCUUUUUUUUUU
rnacentral:lncRNA from 1 species